UGGGGAAUUUUGGACAAUGGACGCAAGUCUGAUCCAGCCAUGCCGCGUGCGGGAAGAAGGCCUUCGGGUUGUAAACCGCUUUUGUCAGGGAAGAAACGAGUUUCUCUAAUACAGAGACUUAAUGACGGUACCUGAAGAAUAAGCACCGGCUAACUACGUGCCAGCAGCCGCGGUAAUACGUAGGGUGCAAGCGUUAAUCGGAAUUACUGGGCGUAAAGCGUGCGCAGGCGGUUAUGCAAGACAGAUGUGAAAUCCCCGGGCUCAACCUGGGAACUGCGCUUGUGACUGCUAAGCUAGAGUACGGCAGAGGGGGGAUGGAAUUCCGCGUGUAGCAGUGAAAUGCGUAGAUAUGCGGAGGAACACCGAUGGCGAAGGCAAUCCCCUGGACCUGUACUGACGCUCAUGCACGAAAGCGUGGGGAGCAAACA
rnacentral:rRNA from 1 species